rnacentral:Y_RNA from 1 species
GGCUGGUCCAAAUGUAGUAAGUUAUCUCAAUUGAUUGUUCACAGUCUGUUACAGAUUGAACCACUUGUUCUACUCUCUCCCCCCUUCUCACUACUGCACCUGACUAAUCUUUG